GGGCCAUUCUGGUGCAGCAGCCUGUAUACAGUGAAACUGCAAAUGGCUCAUUAAAUCAGUUAUCGUUUAUUUGAUAAUACCUUACUACUUGGAUAACCGUGGUAAUUCUAGAGCUAAUACAUGCUAAAAAUCCCGACUUCGGAAGGGAUGUAUUUAUUAGAUAAAAAACCAAUGUCUUCGGACUCCUUGGUGAUUCAUAAUAACUUAACGAAUCGCAUGGCCUUGCGCCGGCGAUGGUUCAUUCAAAUUUCUGCCCUAUCAACUUUCGAUGGUAGGAUAGUGGCCUACCAUGGUUUCAACGGGUAACGGGGAAUUAGGGUUCUAUUCCGGAGAGGGAGCCUGAGAAACGGCUACCACAUCCAAGGAAGGCAGCAGGCGCGCAAAUUACCCAAUCCCAAUUCGGGGAGGUAGUGACAAUAAAUACUGAUACAGGGCUCUUUUGGGUCUUGUAAUUGGAAUGAGUACAAUUUAAAUCCCUUAACGAGGAACAAUUGGAGG
rnacentral:rRNA from 1 species